UAAUAAGUGUUUUAUGGCACUUUUUAAAUCCAUAUCCACCUUGUGUGCAAUGUCAGUCGAUCUUCUUCAUGGAGAUCGACCAAACAUCAACCUUUAUCUAUUUAACUCUUUGUCUGAAAAAUAUUAUGAAUAAACAAUUCAAAAUA
rnacentral:misc_RNA from 1 species